rnacentral:rRNA from 1 species
GGGUGAUCUGCCCUGCACUCUGGGAUAAGCCUGGGAAACUGGGUCUAAUACCGGAUAGGACCACACACUUCAUGGUGAGUGGUGCAAAGCUUUUGCGGUGUGGGAUGAGCCCGCGGCCUAUCAGCUUGUUGGUGGGGUAAUGGCCCACCAAGGCGACGACGGGUAGCCGGCCUGAGAGGGUGACCGGCCACACUGGGACUGAGAUACGGCCCAGACUCCUACGGGAGGCAGCAGUGGGGAAUAUUGCACAAUGGGCGCAAGCCUGAUGCAGCGACGCCGCGUGAGGGAUGACGGCCUUCGGGUUGUAAACCUCUUUCAGUAGGGACGAAGCGAAAGUGACGGUACCUACAGAAGAAGGACCGGCCAACUACGUGCCAGCAGCCGCGGUAAUACGUAGGGUCCGAGCGUUGUCCGGAAUUACUGGGCGUAAAGAGCUCGUAGGUGGUUUGUCGCGUUGUUCGUGAAAACUCACAGCUUAACUGUGGGCGUGCGGGCGAUACGGGCAGACUAGAGUACUGCAGGGGAGACUGGAAUUCCUGGUGUAGCGGUGGAAUGCGCAGAUAUCAGGAGGAACACCGGUGGCGAAGGCGGGUCUCUGGGCAGUAACUGACGCUGAGGAGCGAAAGCGUGGGUAGCGAACAGGAUUAGAUACCCUGGUAGUCCACGCCGUAAACGGUGGGUACUAGGUGUGGGUUUCCUUCCUUGGGAUCCGUGCCGUAGCUAACGCAUUAAGUACCCCGCCUGGGGAGUACGGUCGCAAGACUAAAACUCAAAGGAAUUGACGGGGGCCCGCACAAGCGGCGGAGCAUGUGGAUUAAUUCGAUGCAACGCGAAGAACCUUACCUGGGUUUGACAUGCACAGGACGUA